AGAGUUUGAUCCUGGCUCAGAACGAACGCUGGCGGCGUGCUUAACACAUGCAAGUCGAACGCGAAAAGGGACUUCGGUCCUGAGUAAAAGUGGCGCACGGGUGAGUAACGCGUGGGUAACGUACCCCUGAAUCUGGAAUAACCCACCGAAAGGUGGACUAAUACCGGAUAUUGUUCCGGAGUCGCAUGGCUCUGGAAUGAAAGGUGACCUCUUCAUGAAAGUUGCCGUUUGGGGAGCGGCUCGCGUACCAUUAGCUAGUUGGCAGGGUAAUGGCCGACCAAGGCGACGAUGGUUAGCUGGUCUGAGAGGAUGAUCAGCCACACUGGAACUGAGACACGGUCCAGACUCCUACGGGAGGCAGCAGUGAGGAAUCUUGCGCAAUGGGGGAAACCCUGACGCAGCAACGCCGCGUGAGUGAGGAAGGUCUUCGGAUCGUAAAGCUCUGUCAGAUGGAAAGAACCGCAUGAGGGCCAAUACCCCUCAUGCCUGACGGUACCAUCAGAGGAAGCACCGGCUAACUCCGUGCCAGCCGCCGCGGUAAUA
rnacentral:rRNA from 1 species